CUCCGGCCUCCGUCCUCGGCUUCGGGCUCCGACUCCUCCGGCUCCUCCGGGCUCCGGGCUCCGGCCCCCGGCUCCUCUAAACUCUAGUCUCUAGGCUCUAACUCCGAGCCUCCGACCUCCGGGCUCUGCCGCUCCGCGGCUCCGGCCUCGUCGCCUCGUCGGCUCCGGCCUCGUCGCCUCGUCGGCUCCUCCCGUCCUCCGUUGGCAUCCCUAUUCCCAAAUCCCAAAUCCCAAAGGGCAAAGGCCAAAAUCAAAUCCCAGGCCGCAGACCGCAGUGGUUGGUUGUGAUUUCGGCGGUUCGGCCUCUUCUCAGUUCUCUCCGUCAAGUUCGGCACUAUUCGGCCUCUUCUCCCCGUCAAGUUCGGCACUACUUGUCGGGAUCUGAGUUUGU